CGCCGUAUCUCUACGCGCGUUCCCUCCGCGGACCUUUCUGAGCCAACGACGCUCCCUUACGGCGGUCUCGCUUGUCCACCGCGUCCUAGAGCGGCUCCCCCCACCACCACCCACGCUUCCGCUCUGGCCAGAAGGACUCGGGCCUCUGUGGUGGACGGCGCGCCAUGAGGUCGGUCAGCUACGUGCGGCGGGUGACGCUGGAGUUCGGCGGGAACCUCUUCCCACGCGCUGUGUGCCUGGGCGACGCCGACAACGACGCGCUAAAUGAGCUAGUGGUGGGAGACACUAGUGGAAAACUAUUCAUAUACAAGAGUGAUGAAAGCAAGCCUUGGAAUGUGCGCUUAUGUCAAGGAAUGCUCACUUGUGUUGGUGUUGGGGAUGUAUGUAAUAAAGGAAAGAAUGUGGUUGUUGCUGUGAGUGCUGAAGGGUGGUUUCAUCUCUUUGAUCUCACUCCGUCCUCCAAGCACCUUGAUGCCUCAGGCCACCAUGAGCUCCCAACAGCAGAAGACCAGAAGCUUGGAUUCAAGCAGCACAUUCCUGCCAACACCAAAGUUAUGCUGAUUAGUGACAUUGAUGGAGAUGGGAAGAGUGAAUUGGUGGUGGGAUAUACAGACCGUGUGGUGCGAGCCUUUCGCUGGGAAGACUCAUCUGAGAGUUCAGAGAAUAUCACGGGACAGUUGGUGCUACUCAAAAAGUGGUUGCUGGAGGGACAGGUGGAUAGUCUAUCUGUAAAUCCAGGCUCAGACUGUUCUCCUGAGAUGAUGGUGUCCCAGCCUGGGUGUGGUUAUGCAGUCUUACUGUGUACUUGGAAAGCAGAGCAGCAGAGGAUAGACAGUUCGGCAGCAAGCAGGGAAGCCCCAAUCCGGGAUGUCAUUCUCCAUCAGACAUCAGGAAGAAUUCACAACAAGAAUGUUUCCACUCACCUCAUUGGCAGCAUUGGCAGAGGAACUUCCAAGAAGCACGCUGGCUCGGGUCUGUUUGCACUCUGCACCUUGGAUGGGACACUGAAACUGAUGGAGGGAGCUGACAAGCUACUGUGGUCAGUACAGGUUGACCACCAACUUUUUGCUCUAGAAAAACUGGAUGUUACUGGAAAUGGCCAUGAGGAGGUGAUUGCCUGUGCUUGGGAUGGACAGACGUACAUCAUAGACCAUGGACGCACUGUGGCUAGGUUCCAAGUAGAUGAAAAUGUGAGUGCCUUCUGUGCAGGUCUCUAUGCCUGCAAAGGAGGCUGCAAUAGCCCUUGUCUGGUAUACGUCAGUUUCAACCAAAAGAUCUACAUCUAUUGGGAUGUGCAAUUGGAGAGAAUGGAAUCUACCAGUUUGCUGAAGAUGCUAGAGAGUAACUCCGAAUACAAAGAUCUCCUACUCCAGCUGGGUGUGGCUGGAGAUGAUGUUUCUGCGGUCAAAGAUUUGAUUCACAAGACACUCUACUUUCCAGAGGAGCAGCUAAAUAGCCCUUCUCAGUUCAUGCCCACAGCCAGAUCCUCUUCCAGGUGCUAUCCUAUUUCCCAAGAAAUCUUAUGAGCAGAUGACAUAUACUUACACAGUGAACAGCUCUGCUUCUCAUUCUGCUACCCCUCAUUUGUGCAAAUUAAGCAUUGUUAAGAACCAGGACUUUGAAUGAAGGGGUUGGAGGUAGCAGCAUGAAUCUUCAAGUGAAGCUGCUGACUGAAGUCAACGUAAUAGGAAAUGCCCUUUUCACAUUUGUCUCAAGGUCCUCAUUGCUUGUUGUUACUUUCUCAUCAGUCACUUUAUCUUCUGAAAACUUUAAUAAAGGCAACACAAUUCAUGUCUCUAGAAUCACCUUCCCAGCCCAGUGGAAGCUCCCCUCUUCCGCAGACGGAUACAAGUACUCUCUUCUCCAAGACCCUCCUUCAUGAAAACAGAAAAAUUGUCACCCUGGCAGUGAGACAUCUUUAUCAGCUCUCAGCUUCUCAAGGCCAGCCCUUGGCAUUCAGGACAUCAAAUUUGUAGCCUGAGAUGCAGAACCUCAUUACACUGAACACCCGCAUACAGUUCUGUCCAGCAGGUAAAUCGCCAUACAUGUGACACUAGGUACAAUCCAAAAGUUAGCCCCCGCACCCCUGUUAUGGCCAAUGGUGAUCAUUAUGCAACAAUUGUUUCGCCUCCAUUUAGAUUUUAGAAAAAUUGUUUUACUGAUAGCAGGAUUGAACUUCCGACAUACUCUUCAGUAGCCCUGUGAAUUUCAGGCUUCACCCCCUUCCAUUUAUUCAGUGACAGGUGUACAUGGCCUUACUUUGCUGAUUUUGCUCCCAGAAAGAGCCAGUUCCUGAUAUUUUUCUACCAACUCUGGGUAGAUGGGGCUGCUGUUCUUCAGGGCAAACUUGACAGCAGCCUCCUGGUAAUGGGGUUGGGGGUUUGGGCAAGGGUAAGCCCAGCAGUCCCUAGAAGGAGGUGUGACAGGCUGCAGUUGGACACAAAGCGAGGCUGGGCUUUUCCUUGGAAGCAGGCGCUUGUAUCUGUACAAAAUUAAGAAAGCAACAUAAAUGAUAAUGCUUAUGUGGAAGGUUUUGAGAACUUGAAAUGUAUAAACAGUGCAUGAUUUCACUUUGCUGAUGGGCAUAGAAGCUCAAAAAAGAAGAAGCCCAAAACUACCUAGGUGGGUCUACACACCGGGGGGGGGGGAGCUAUUAAUAAGUCAGAAAUCAUAAUAACAAAGGGGGGGGAGCGCUAUGGAAAAUUGCAUUGAUUUUUUUUUUAAAAAAACACUCCAACACCAUUUGGUGUUGCAUGUUUGUAACACAUUCAGAACACUCUUUUUUGACUAAUGUAGCUGAGUCCCUUGUGUGUUUGAGGCCGAGGCGAGAUUUGAACUGGGGAUUUCCCAUUAAGUAGAAGGGUAAUAUUUUGUGAGACUGCAGCUUAGUUGGGGAUGAGGCUAGAGAACAACCAUGUGGGUGUUCUGGGAGUUGCUUGCUGGUGGGGGCAAAGCCACAGCAAUAGCCCUCUGGCAGUGGUGCCACUAACCAGGAUGGACGUGGGCUUGGGGCUCUGUGGGAGCACAGGAUUGGCUCCAUUUGUGCAUCAUAGUAUAGUUCAAAAUUACUCUGAGGGUCAUCGAGUCCAAGCCCCUGCAAUGCAGGAAUCUCAACUAAAACAUCCACGACAGAUGCCCAUCCAAUCUCUGCCUGAAAACCUCCAAGGAGAGUCCACCACUUUCCAGGGGAUUCAGCACCUCCCAAAACAUUACGUGAACCAAAUGGCAGCUAUCCUUUGAACUUUGCACUUUCCAAGUUCUGCAGUGCUAUUCUCUAAUCAAAAAAUGUAUACAGCAAUAUAUUUUAGAAAAUGUGCAUAAAAAGGUAUAUGUGUGAAAAUAACAUACAAAAGUGCACAUUAUUCCUGGCCCAAUAUGUAUAUUAGGAGAAGUGUGCCCUAAAACACUCACAAU